rnacentral:rRNA from 1 species
AAACCAACAUGUAUUGCCCAGUACGGCGAGUGAAGCGGCAAGAGCUCAAAUUUGAAAUCUGGCCUCCCCCGGGGGUCCGAGUUGUAAUUUGCAGAGGAUGCUUCGGGCGCGGCCCCCGUCUAAGUUCCUUGGAACAGGACGUCAGAGAGGGUGAGAAUCCCGUCUUGGGCGGGCGGCCCGCGCCCGUGUGAAGCUCCUUCGACGAGUCGAGUUGUUUGGGAAUGCAGCUCUAAGCGGGUGGUAAAUUUCAUCUAAAGCUAAAUACCGGCCGGAGACCGAUAGCGCACAAGUAGAGUGAUCGAAAGGUUAAAAGCACCUUGAAAAGGGAGUUAAACAGCACGUGAAAUUGUUGAAAGGGAAGCGCUUGCGGCCAGACUCGGGGGGCGGGGUUCAGCGGGCGCUCGUCGCCCGUGCACUGCCCGCUCCCCGGGCCAGCAUCAGCUUCGACGGCCGGUCAAAGGCCCCCGGAAUGUGUCGUCUCUAGGGACGUCUUAUAGCCGGGGGUGCAAUGCGGCCCGUCGAGACUGAGGAACGCGCUCCGGCUCGGAUGCUGGCGUAAUGGCCGUAAGCGGC